UAUUAGAUAUCUUAAAGUAAGAAUUGAAUUUUUAAUUCAAUAUAUAAUAAAAUAAUGUUUAUUUCUAGUAA
rnacentral:tRNA from 1 species